GGAGUCUUAAGACUGCACCAAACCAAUGUUAAAACCACAUAUGGCACUCCCAAUUUGAAUUAUCUUCUUCUCUUUAUUAAAUAGAGAAGAGAGAAUGCUCUCAGUCCCAUCUUCCCCAAAUUCUCCACUAAUAGCCGUUGGAGAGCUUCAAUUUUAUUUUUUUGUUUAAACUCUAUGAAAUCAAUUGAUCUAUUGUGAUUAGAUUUUGAGGGAGACUAUUCUUAUCAUGUCAAAUGCAAGCUUGAAUCGCAUUUGUAAUGACGAGAAUGAUCCAAUGUUGUGUGUAACAAUGCGAUGCAAACAUGGAGACUUGCUGCAGAUGCAGAUUUCGUGGUCAGAGGAAAACCCAGCUAGAAGAUUUUGGUCAUGUCCACGCUUUCGUGAAAUUUCAUGUAAGUUCUUUAGAUGGAGGGAUCUUGAUGAGAUCGAUAUGUGAUCCAAGUCUGUUAUUCCAAGAUUGGCGAAUAAAAUUAAGGAAUUGGAAAAAGCAUUAGCAUUUUAUGAAAGUAAAGAAAAGAAGAUGAAAUUGGUGGAGAAGAAAAGUGAUCAAGUUUGUCAUGAUAAGGCAGCUGUUUGAUUAUUGGUGGUUGAACUGUUGGAUUAUCAGAUGUUGGCCACAUAUUCAUAUUGCUCAUUGGCUGAAUAAAAUGUGCAUAUGUGCUCAGGUAGGUGUCCUUGUUAUAGUAGUUGGCCAAUUAAUGAAUUGGUUCAUAUUUGCUUGUAAUGUAGGGAAGCAACACCAUGAGGACAAGGUAUUUCCUUAAGCUGCCAAGCUCUACAACUACAAGUGCGCCUAAGAAUGUCUACACAAUGUGUAAAACCCUUGUCUACAACCUCAAAACCCCUUUCUCCAUUUCAAGAUAAGUUGCACUGCAUUGACUUAUUAAUGUUGUCUUGUAAAAAAUUUCAAAGUCAUGGAAGAAAUAUCAGUGAUCCAUAUUUUUGAGA